GUGAAUAUUUUUGGGAUCAUUUUUAGAAUAUUUUUUAUUUCACCAACCAUCAUCACACUGAUCUCCUAUGAAGAUCACUCCUUUUGUUUUCCUGGCAAUAUUGUAGAACGCAAGAUAUGUGGCAAACACAGGUUUCCUUCCCCCUUAUCACAUUUGAUAAUCUUUGUAAUCAAUCUUUCCUUUGAAUAUUUCCGUGAAUAUUUCCGUGAAUAUUUCCGUGAAUAUUUCAGUGAAUAUUUCCGUGAAUAUUUCCGUGAAUAUUUUUUGGAUUAUUUUUUGAAUAUUUUUUAUUUCACACACCAUCAUCACACUGGUUCCCUAUGAAGAUCACUCCUUUUGUUUUCCUGGCAAUAUUGUAGAAAGCAAGAUAUGUGGCAAACACAGGUUUCCUUCCCCCCUUAUAACAUUUGAUAAUAUUUGUAAUCAAUCAUUCCUUUGAACAUUUUUGUGAAUAUUUCCGUGAAUAUUUUUUGGAUUAUUUUUGGAAUAUUUUUUAUUUCACCAACCAUCAUCACACUGGUUCCCUAUGAAGAUCACUCCUUUUGUUUUCCUGGCAAUAUUGUAGAAAGCAAGAUAUGUGGCAAACACAGGUUUCCUUCCCCCCUUAUCACAUUUGAUAAUCUUUGUAAUCAAUCAUUCCUUUGAAUAUUUCUUGAAUAUUUUCAUUAAUAUUUCCGUGAAUAUUUCUGUGAAUAGUUCCGUGAAUAUUUUUGGAAUUUUUUUGGAAUAUUUUUAAUUUCACCAACCAUCAUCGGACUGGUUCCCUAUGAAGAUCACUCCUUUUGUUUUCCUGGCAAUAUUGUAGAACGCAAGAUAUGUGGCAAACACAGGUUUCCUUCCCCCCUUAUCACAUUUUUUAAUCUUUGUAUUCAAUCAUUCCUUUGAAUAUUUCUUGAAUAUUUCUUGAAUAUUUUCAUGAAUAUUUCCGUGAAUAUUUCCGUGAAUAUUUCCGUGAAUAUUUUUUGGAUUAUUUUUUGAAUAUUUUUUAUUUCACCAACCAUCAUCACACUGGUUCCCUAUGAAGAUCACUCCUUUUCUUUUCCUGGCAAUAUUGUAGAAAGCAAGAUAUGUGGCAAACAAAGGUUUCUUCCCCCCUUAUCACAUUUGAUAAUCUUUGUAAUCAAUCAUUCCUUUGAAUAUUUCUUGAAUAUUUUCAUGAAUAUUUCCGUGAAUAUUUCCGUGAAUAUUUCCGUGAAUAUUUUUUGGAUUAUUUUUUGAAUAUUUUUUAUUUCACCAACCAUCAUCACACUGGUUCCCUAAGAAGAUCACUCCUUUUGUUUUCCUGGCAAUAUUGUAGAACGCAAGAUAUGUGGAAAACACAGGUUUCCUUCCCCCCUUAUAACAUUUUUUAAUCUUUUUAAUCAAUCAUUCCUUUGAAUAUUUCUGAAAUAUUUGCAUGAAUAUUUGCGUGAUUAUUUUUUGAAUAUUUUUGAAUAUUUUUAAUUUCACCAACCAUCAUCGGACUGGUUCCCUAUGAAGAUCACUCCUUUUGUUUUCCUGGCAAUAUUGUAGAACGCAAGAUAUGUGGCAAACAAAGGUUUCCUUCCCCCCUUAUCACAUUUGAUAAUCUUUGUAAUCAAUCUUUCCUUUGAAUAUUUCUUGAAUAUUUUCCUGAAUAUUUCCGUGAAUAUUUCCGUGAAUAUUUUCGUGUAUAUUUUUUGAAUAUUUUUUAUUUCACCAACCAUCAUCACACUGGUUCCCUAAGAAGAUCACUCCUUUUGUUUUCCUGGCAAUAUUGUAGAACGCAAGAUAUGUGGCAAACAAAGGUUUCCUUCCCCCCUUAUCACAUUUGAUAAUCUUUGUAAUCAAUCUUUCCUUUGAAUAUUUCUUGAAUAUUUUCAUGAAUAUUUCCGUGGAUAUUUCCGUAAAUAUUUCCGUGACUAUUUUUUGGAUUAUUUUUUGAAUAUUUUUUAUUUCACCAACCAUCAUCACACUGGUUCCCUAUGAAGAUCACUCCUUUUGUUUUCCUGGCAAUAUUGUAGAAAGCAAGAUAUGUGGCAAACAAAGGUUUCCUUCACCCCUUCUCAAAUUGAUAAUCUUUGUAAUCAAUCAUUCCUUUGAAUAUUUCUUGAAUAUAUUCAUGGAUAGUUCCGUGAAUAUUUCUGUGAAUAUUUCCGUGAAUAUUUCCGCGAAUAUUUUUGGAAUAUGUUUUAGUUCACCAUCCAUCAUCACACUGGUUCCCUAUAAAGAUCACUCCUUUUCUUUUCCUGGCAAUAUUGUAGAAAGCAAGAUAUGUGGCAAACAAG
ensembl:lncRNA